CACUAUGCUUAGCCUUAAACCUAAAUAAUUUCCUAACAAAAUUAUUCGCCAGAGAACUACAAGCCAGAGCUUAAAACUCAAAGGACUUGGCGGUGCUUUAUACCCGCCUAGAGGAGCCUGUUCUAUAAUCGAUAAACCCCGAUAAACCUUACCACUCUUUGCCAACUCAGCCUAUAUACCGCCAUCUUCAGCAAACCCUAAAAAGGAGCAAAAGUAAGCUUAAUCAUCACCAUAAAAACGUUAGGUCAAGGUGUAGCCUAUAGAGUGGAAAGUAAUGGGCUACAUUUUCUACUUUAGAACACACGAAAGCCCCUAUGAAACCCUAGGAGCCAAAGGAGGAUUUAGCAGUAAAUUAAGAAUAGAGUGCUUAAUUGAACAAGGCCAUGAAGCACGC
rnacentral:rRNA from 2 species